rnacentral:rRNA from 1 species
GGAUAGCUGGGGGCAUUUGUACUUAACUGUCAGAGGUGAAAUUCUGGAUUUGUUAGAGACAAACUACUGCGAAAGCAUUUGUCAAGGAUGUUUUCAUUGAUCAAGAACGAAAGUUAAGGGAUCGAAGACGAUCAGAUACCGUCCUAGUCUUAACCAUAAACAAUGCCAUCUAGAGAUUGGAGGUAGUGCCAAGGAUUACUUUUUAGCAUCAUUUGAGAAAUCAAAGCUUUUGGGUUCCGGGGGGAGUAUGGUCGCAAGGCUGAAACUUAAAGGAAUUUGACGGAAGGGCACCACCAGGAGUGGAGCCUGCGGCUUAAUUUGACUCAACACGGGAAAACUCACCAGAACCAGACAUAAACAGGAUUGACAGAUUGAUAGCUCUUUCUUGAUUUUAUGGUGUGGUGCAUGCCGUUCUUAGUUGGUGGAGUGAUCUGUCUGGUUAAUUCCGUCAACGAACGAGACCUUGUCUUACUAAAUAGUUACAUGUAACUUUGG